GAUAGCGGCCAUAGCUUUCGGGACACACCUGGUCUCAUUCCGAACCCAGAAGUUAAGCCGGAACACGUAGUAUGUUGUACUGAGGUACGAGAGUCCCCGGGAACCAUACCAAGCUGCUAUCA
rnacentral:rRNA from 1 species